GAAUCUUCCACAAUGGGCGAAAGCCUGAUGGAGCGACGCCGCGUGGGGGAUGAAGGUUUUCGGAUCGUCAACCCCUUUUCUCAGGGAAGCGUACGGCCGGUACCUGAGGAAUAAGCAUCGACUACCUACGUGCCAGCCGCCGCGGUAAUACGUAGGAUGCUAGCGUUGUCCGGAAUCACUGGGCGUAAAGGGUCCGUAGGCGGUCUGUUAAGUCUCCUGUGAAAGUUCAGGGCUCAACUCUGAAAUGUCGGGGGAUACUGGCAGACUUGAGACUGUCAGAGGCAGGUGGAAUUCCCGGUGUAGUGGUGAAAUGCGUAGAUAUCGGGAGGAACACCAGUGGCGAAAGCGGCCUGCUGGGACAGUUCUGACGCUGAGGGACGAAAGCGUGGGUAGCAAACCGG
rnacentral:rRNA from 1 species